CCACGUGUUAGUGUUAUAUUGGCCAUAAUUUUUUUUUUACGCUCUUUUCCUGUGAUAUUUCCUCCUCGACAUUUCUUUGCUUCUUGGUUUUGGUCGACGAUUUUCUCCUCUUAAGCCGACGAUUUCUUUACCAAAUCGGAGAGUUUGAAGAUAAAAUCGAAAGCUUCAGGCUCAUCUAUGCCGGAAAAUAGCUAGCUGAUGACAAAACGACAAAGGACUACAACAUAGAGGGAGGCUCUGUUUUUCAUCUGGUUCUUGCUCUUAGGGGUGGUUUUAGUCUUCUCUGAGAUGUAAUUCUCUCUUUUAUCUAAGUUUAUUUGCUCCAAGAGUUUCCUUUCUAUGGCUGGUUGAGUUCAUGAGAAAAAAGUGAAUGCAAUUUGGAUAUAUGGUGGUGCUUUAAAUACUAUUGCUGGUUUUUCAGUUGGGUUUGAAUCAUUUUACCAAUAAUAGGUAACAGGACUAUGCACUGACCUCUUGAUGAUGUUGUUGUUGAGUGUUGAAAACAUUACGAGAGACAUUACUUUUGCUAAAAUCUUAUUUAAGUCAGAGUCUUUGAAUAU